CAGCGGACUUGAGAUCGAUCAUCGCUUGGGUGCGCGCGGGGAAACCUGCGCUGCAGAACUGCUCAAAUUCGGGGAACCCUGUGAAAUGGCAAUCCCGAGCCAAGCCCCCGACAGGAUUUUGCCGGGGGAAGGUGUAGAGACUAGACGGGCAGCGCCUAAACCCUCAAUGCAGGGCAUGGUGAAGGGAUAGUCCAGACCACGAACAUCGGUUCCGG
rnacentral:ncRNA from 1 species